AACUUAGAAUGGGACUUUGCAGAUCUGUGGUAAAGUUACUUAAAGCCCUUCAGUUCUGCUUUUAUACCAAAAUUUAACUGGUAAACGAGCAGCUGAAAGUGAUUGAGUACUACAGAUCAAUGGAACAGCUCUGAGUUGGAAUUGGGGAGGCUGGCCCUAGAGGACACACCAUCCUCAUGCAUGGGCCAGUCAUUUUAGAUACCCAAGGUAAUUAGUAAACUGGUAAUAAGAUAAGUACUGUGCAUUUUCUGUAGGCAGGACAUUGUGUUGAACAUUGUGAAGGCUAUGAGAAGAUACAGGACAUCACAUUUGUUAAUUGCUAAAGGAAUGGUAUAAAUCUAUGCUGUAGGAUUUUAUAAAAGUAUACUUACCUAGACUUCAUGGGCAAGUUGAACUGGGCCUUGAAAGGAUUGUUAGGGUUCAGAUAUGCAGAAGAGAUUUUAUACAGUUCUUAAAACUGAGGAAAUGGCAUAAGGAAAGACACAUUGAGAAAUAUGCUUGGAAGGCCCAGGAAUUGGAAGAUUGAUGAAUUAAAUUUGUUUAAAACAAAAUUCUUGAAGCCCUUGGUAUUCUAGAGAUUUAUGCUACUGAGACAUCAGGAAUCUAUGUGUUGGAAGAUGGAGGUGGAAGUGGUGGGGAGAGGCCCAAGUAAAGAAGUUACAAGGAUGCAAAUCUAACUGAAACAUCUCUUUUUCUUUUUUCUCUCCCUUUGGGAAGAGCUACAGUUGAAUAGAGUGAACUAUCGAGACCAGAAAGGAAAUUUUAAUGAGGUUAGAAUUAUAAUGUUGAUGCUUUUAUCAAGUUUCAUUGUGUAAUUUUUAUCAAAUUACACUUUAUUA